rnacentral:hammerhead_ribozyme from 1 species
ACUCAGCUGAAGAGCCCUAAAUAGGACGAAACGUGCAUCUUGAAU